rnacentral:rRNA from 1 species
UACAGAGGGUGCAAGCGUUGCUCGGAAUCAUUGGGCGUAAAGGGUUGGUAGGUGGUCUCAUUUGUCGGGGGUGAAAGCCUUGGGCUUAACCCAAGAAGUGCCUCCGAAACGGUGAGACUAGAGUUCUGGAGAGGCUAGGGGAAUUCCCGGUGUAGCGGUGAAAUGCGUAGAGAUCGGGAGGAACACCUGUGGCGAAGGCGGCCCCCUGGGCUGCACCUGACACUGAGACGCGAAGGCCAGGGGAGCGAACGGG